GAUUAUGAUAUAACUGCUUUCUUCUACUUGUAUUAUUAUUAUUAUUAUUCUAUUAUUAUUUUAUUUGUAGGUUUAUAAUGGCAGUAAUCCUUGUGUGUCUUGUGGUUCUGAUAUGACACAAAGUAAGAGUUCAUCACAUUGGGAAGGAGGUCAAGGCUGCCGUAACAAAGUGAAGAUGAGCAGGAAUGAUAGACAGAAAUAUGUAAAUUCAGAGAAGAAGACGGUGUCAAUGAAAAAUGAAAGAGUUGGAGUGAAAGGAAAGAACAAUAUAGACCAGAAGAGUGGAACAUUACGUAGCUAGAUUUAAACAUAUAAUACAGUAAUAAAAAUUUAAAUGUGGCACAAAAAUCAGCAUUAAUAGAAAAGGAAAA